UACGUAGGGGGCAAGCGUUGUCCGGAAUCAUUGGGCGUAAAGAGCGCGUAGGCGGCCCUGUAAGUCCGCUGUGAAAGUCAAGGGCUCAACCCUUGAAUGCCGGUGGAUACUGCAGGGCUAGAGUCCGGAAGAGGCGAGUGGAAUUCCUGGUGUAGCGGUGAAAUGCGCAGAUAUCAGGAGGAACACCGAUUGCGAAGGCAGCUCGCUGGGACGUAACUGACGCUGAGACGCGAAAGCGUGGGGAGCAAACAGG
rnacentral:rRNA from 1 species